rnacentral:rRNA from 1 species
CUACGGGGUGCUGCAGUGGGGAAUUUUGCGCAAUGGCGGAAACCCUGACGCAGCGAUACCGCGUGAGUGAAGAAGGCCUUUGGGUCGUAAAGCUCUUUUCUAAGGGAAGAUAGUGACGGUACCUUAGGAAUAAGCGCCGGCUAACUCCGUGCCAGCAGCCGCGGUAAUACGGAGGGCGCGAGCGUUGUUCGGAUUUACUGGGCGUAAAGGGCGCGUAGGCGGCCUGGCAAGUUAAGGGUGAAAUCCCGGGGCUUAACCCCGGAACUGCUCUUAAAACUGCCAAGCUAGAGAUGGUCAGAGGCGGGUGGAAUUCCAGGUGUAGAGGUGAAAUUCGUAGAUAUCUGGAGGAACACCGGUGGCGAAGGCGGCCCGCUGGGGCCAUUCUGACGCUGAGGCGCGAAAGCGUGGGGAGCGAACGGGAUUAGAUACCCCCGUAGUC